rnacentral:rRNA from 1 species
GAUGAACGCUGGCGGCGUGCCUAAUACAUGCAAGUCGAGCGAACGGACGAGAAGCUUGCUUCUCUGAUGUUAGCGGCGGACGGGUGAGUAACACGUGGAUAACCUACCUAUAAGACUGGGAUAACUUCGGGAAACCGGAGCUAAUACCGGAUAAUAUUUUGAACCGCAUGGUUCAAAGGUGAAAGACGGUCUUGCUGUCACUUAUAGAUGGAUCCGCGCUGCAUUAGCUAGUUGGUAAGGUAACGGCUUACCAAGGCAACGAUGCAUAGCCGACCUGAGAGGGUGAUCGGCCACACUGGAACUGAGACACGGUCCAGACUCCUACGGGAGGCAGCAGUAGGGAAUCUUCCGCAAUGGGCGAAAGCCUGACGGAGCAACGCCGCGUGAGUGAUGAAGGUCUUCGGAUCGUAAAACUCUGUUAUUAGGGAAGAGCAUAUGUGUAAGUAACUGUGCACAUCUUGACGGUACCUAAUCAGAAAGCCACGGCUAACUACGUG